UGCUGAUCUGCCGCAUUUAAUAACAAUAUUUAAUUUUACCGUUUAGUCUCUACUCUCUAGCCUCAGAAUACCUCUACAUAACAAAUAAUUAUUUUGUCUUAGUGUAUAGACGUAUAUGAUUUACAAAAGUCCGAAGUUUAACAUCUUGUGUAGUAUAAUUUAAUAUUUAUCAUUAUUUUUUGAAUACAGCAACUUGGAUAAUAUGAGUUCGAUAUUGAUGAAACAAACAUUGUUUAAUAUUUCAUUUUUUUGUUUAUUGUAGUAUAUCCGAGUUAUAAGAACGUACAAACAUUUAAUGUAAAUGUCGACACAAAAAGCAUCCAGACAGUUCUACUAUUAAAGCAGAAUAUAUCAGUACACUAUCAUUGAGUAUAUAUAGUACUAUAUCAUAUACUAUCUAUACUCAAUGGUACUACACAUUAAAAUCGCUCAUUCUAUGAUGGGCUCUAUUCUACAAGAAUUGAAAUUGAACAAUGUUAAAUCAGAGAUCAGAAAUAUAGAUUGGAUAACUAAAGAAAAUCAAUGGGAACCAAAUCAUCGAUUCAAAUUACAAAUCCAUGUGCAGCCAUUCUUUAUAGUUGGCCAAAUGCUGAAUCGUCUAUACGCCAUGCAAGAAAGCAAACCCUCCCGCCAUUGCCAUCAGUGCUGCAUGAAUUAAGCAAAUAUUUUAACCUAAAUGCUGAAAAGUGUCAGUGUAAUAACUCUCAGUUUUACCAAGAGUGGGUUGUUGUCUUGUUGACAAUGCUGGCAAAUACAAUAUUAUGUAUGCGUGUCAGCAGUUGAUUAGUACUGUGGUUCAUCAAGGAGCCACUGAACUACAUGCAGAUGCCACGUUUAAGGUAGUUCCAUCUAUACCUUAUUGUUGACAACUUCUCAUCAAUCAUUUAAUUUUCUAAAACCAUUCCAUACCUAUAUGUUUCGUGCUUGUGGAAGCAAAAACUGAGGCAUCCUAUAGAAAAGUUAUGGAAAUAUUCAAAAUUAAAUUUCCUGAGGUUAAGCCUUUGAUAAUUAUGAUGGAUAUUGAAUCAGCUCUCCGCAAUGUUUUUCUUGAUGUUUAUCCUGAAGCUCAGGAUCUUUCAUCUUCAAAUAACAAUUAAUAAACUUUUAACAUUUAAAGUUUACUGAAAGACAUAAAAAAAUGGGUUAUUCAGGAUACAUCAAGCAAAACCGUGAGGCAAAAAUGUGUGAAAGAAUGUGCUCAGUGUUGGCUCUAUUGCCUGCUUAUCAUAUUGAGCGAGGAUUUCAAGAAGUGAAAAAUUAUGCCCAAACUCAUGAAAUAUUUUUGCCAAGAUUUCAUUUCACUUACAUUCAAGUUUUUGGCUUAUAAGAAAAGGUCCGGAAUAUUUAUCUGUGCACGGUCAACCACGUUGCACAAUCAACAAUGUAGAAAGCUUUCACUCAACAAUGAAACAAACUUUUCAGAAAAUCUCAACAAUAUUAGCAAAAAAAUACAUGUUGUCGUGGAUCAGUUAUCAGCCCUCGACAAGAAAUGUGAAAUUUAAAUAUAUUUUAAAUUCACAAGGCAUCAAAAAUUCAACUGCAUAUUUGAAUACAGGAGCAAUUUCUUAUUCAGUGUUCAUAUAGUAC